UACGAAGGGGGCAAGCGUUGUUCGGAAUUAUUGGGCGUAAAGAGCUCGUAGGCGGCUUGUCGCGUCGAAUGUGAAAACCCACGGCUCAACUGUGGGCUUGCAUUCGAUACGGGCAGGCGUAGAGUUCGGUAGGGGAGACGUGGAAUUCCUGGUGUAGCGGUGAAAUGACGCAGAUAUCAGGAGGAAUACCAGUGGCGAAGGCGGCUGACUGGCCUGCAACUGACGCUGAAACGCGAAGGCUAGGGGAGCAAACAGG
rnacentral:rRNA from 1 species